AGUCGAACGGAGCUUAGAGAGCUUGCUUUUUAAGCUUAGUGGCGAACGGGUGAGUAACGCGUGAGUAACCUGCCCUAGAGUGGGGGACAACAGUUGGAAACGACUGCUAAUACCGCAUAAGCCCACGGUACCGCAUGGUACUGAGGGAAAAGGAUUUAUUCGCUUUAGGAUGGACUCGCGUCCAAUUAGCUAGUUGGUGAGGUAACGGCCCACCAAGGCGACGAUUGGUAGCCGGACUGAGAGGUUGAACGGCCACAUUGGGACUGAGACACGGCCCAGACUCCUACGGGAGGCAGCAGUGGGGGAUAUUGCACAAUGGGGGAAACCCUGAUGCAGCGACGCCGCGUGGAGGAAGAAGGUUUUCGGAUUGUAAACUCCUGUCGUUAGGGACGAUAAUGACGGUACCUAACAAGAAAGCACCGGCUAACUACGUGCCAGCAGCCGCGGUAAAACGUAGGGUGCAAGCGUUGUCCGGAAUUACUGGGUGUAAAGGGAGCGCAGGCGGGAAGACAAGUUGGAAGUGAAAACCAUGGGCUCAACCCAUGAAUUGCUUUCAAAACUGUUUUUCUUGAGUAGUGCAGAGGUAGAUGGAAUUCCCGGUGUAGCGGUGGAAUGCGUAGAUAUCGGGAGGAACACCAGUGGCGAAGGCGGUCUACUGGGCACCAACUGACGCUGAGGCUCGAAAGCAUGGGUAGCAAACAGGAUUAGAUACCCUGGUAGUCCAUGCCGUAAACGAUGAUUACUAGGUGUUGGGGGAUUGACCCCCUCAGUGCCGCAGUUAACACAAUAAGUAAUCCACCUGGGGAGUACGACCGCAAGGUUGAAACUCAA
rnacentral:rRNA from 1 species